GUUGUAGCUCAGUGAUAGAGUGCUUGCCUAGCAUGUGUGAGGUACUGGGUUCGAUCCUCAGCACACA
rnacentral:tRNA from 1 species